CAUGUUUUUCAAUUUCCUAGAUACUCAAACAGAUGAAAUUUUAAGUUACAAAUUUGUCGCCGAGAAUACCAGUCUAUAUAUUCUUUAAAACUGUAUGCAGUAAGUUAAUUAUUUUAAACUCUAAAACAUUUAAUAAUAAAUAUUCACAUAAUACCUAUACAAUUAUAGCAGUCAUACAGAAUCCUGUGAAUGAAUUGAAAAUAAUCAACGUUUAAAGCAAUUUUAACAUUUGGAUAAUGUCACGGACAAUAAAACUUCAAACAAACAUGUUCCCCUUAAAAAAAAGUAAUUUUUGUUAUUUAUUAUUAAUUAUUGUAACAAAUAAUUGUUAUAAUAUUUUUGAUUUGUGUGCAUUUAGUGGUUUAUUAAUGGUACUCCACACACAUAAUAUCUACUAUCUUAGUACAUGCAGGAUUUUUUUCGAGAGGGGUUUUGUUUAUAAUAAUUUCCUAGAUGACUAGAUACUAGAGAGAGGAUAGCACAUAUCAGUACAAUACUAUCACUAUUUUUACUUAAUAAUAAAUUAUUUUUGAUAAAAUAAAAUUUUGUUUUAUUCUGUGGUAUACGAUAUCAUGUUUUGAAUGUAAAACUGGAUUUAAAAAUAUGUAUUAAAAGAAGACAUUUCGGAGGGAGUUAUGACUCCUUAACUCCCCCUCUUUGUGUAUCACUGAUCUCAGUCUUACAAAUGCACAUUUCCAAACUAACUGUUUAGUAUUAUUAUAUUAUAGACUGUGAAUGAUUGUAGCGGUAGUGUUCUAUGAAGAAUUGUCUCUGUAACCAUAUUCUGUAGUGAGUUUAGCAAUUAAUUUGGAAAUUACUUUGUAUAAUUAAAAAUUAUCAUUAUUUUGUAUUUUAGCUGUUGGAAAGGAAUGUAACUAGUUGAGCAUGUUAGUGGCUUGAGUGAAAAAUGUUAUUCACUGGAUUCUAUUCCAACUUGAAAAAAAAAAGUAAGUCAUCCCAUUAAUACCCUUUCUAGUUGUGCAUUUGAAAAAGAAAACUGUUAACUAUCAAUUUACAUCCAUAAAUACAUUUGUUUACAAUUAUAUUAUUACAAGCACAAAUAAUUAUUUUUCUAUGAAAUGUAUAAUUUUUUCAAUAUUCAUUAAGUAUUAUAUUGAUUUAAAAUAAAUCCAUCAAUUUUGUUAUGUAAUGAGCAAAGUUCGGGAAUUAUAGCACAAAAAAACCUUGAAAAAAAGCCUUCAAGAAAAUAUUAUUAUCUACCAAAUGGUAGAAGGUUUAAAUGUCUUCUUUCAACGACUCUAAAUUAUUUAUUUAAAUUUAUUUUCUAACAUGACAUAAAUUAUUAUCAAAAAUGUAUUUUGAUUAAAUAAAAUUGUACGUAUUAUAAAAAAAAUAACUUGGUUAAUAAUUUGUAAAAUGUUAGAAAAUCUUAUUUAAUUAGUUUAUGUUGUUAGAGGGAGAACAUUUUAACCCUUCUAUCAUUAGGUCUAUUAUUAUUUGUUUGAAGUGCUUUUUUUCAAGGUUUUUUUGAAAUAUUUGUGAAAUUUAAAUGUUAAAAGUCCCGAACCCUGGUAAUGUGUAAUGAAUUUUAACAUUAAAUUGUUUCGGUAUAAAAUGAAAAAAAAUAUAUAAACCAAUUAUUAAAGAUAGCUGUUGUAAUAUUGUAAAAGAACAAUAAAUGUUUAAUUGAUUAAUUUCUACUAAAAAAUAUUAAAUAAUAUUCAUUCAUUAUAAAAGUCAGUCUAGUUUAUUCAUAAUAUUAUCAAUUUGUAAAUCAUUAUUUAUUAAAUUUAUUUAUAAACAAUAUUUUGUUUGGUGUUUUUUUUCGUAUUUUAGCUGCUGGGAAGUUAUUCAAUCAGUUAAAAUUCCACAGAGCAUGUAAACUGUUCGAAUGAGAAAUUGUCAUUGUAUUCUAUUGUCAAAUGUCAAUUACCUACUUUAAAUUUGAAUGAAAAA